UCCAGUUUCGCCAACCCCGGUGCUAUUUAAAGGUGUCAGGUGGCUCGGCAGUGGCUCCUGGCCCCGGGUCCUGGCGGCCGCAGUUGGAAGAGCCGAGGCGAGGGCGCCGAUCCCGGACUGCGAGGGAGGCGGAGAGACGGGGCAAUUGACUAUUGCUAACAAGUUAGCCUUGAUCGGGGUGUAAUCAAUUAUCUGCAGCGGCACUUCUUUCUCUUUCUCUCUCCUUUCUCCCUUUCUCCUCUCUUCUUUCUCUCUGUUCUCUCCUCCUGUUCUCGCUCUCCCUCCCUCCCUCUCUCUUCUCUCUUCUCUGCUCCCCCUUCUCUCUCCUUCUCUCCCUCUCCCUCGCCCUCUCUUUCACUCUCUGUCUGUCCAAUGCAGGCGGCUGUAAGUUGGGAAGCUCAUUAAUUAGCGGGCCGGGGGUAGGAGGAGCCGGCUGGAAUUAGCCUGCCUAAUGCGCCUGUCAGUCCGGGCGCUGCGCCGCGCUCGGCCCGAGCUGUUUGUAAAUUACAUUAGCUGCUCCUUUAUUGCACCCGAACCUCGGGCGACUGAAAAGCCACCGCCCCCACCCCAAACUGCGAGCCGCGCUCCUGGCGCACCCGCCUCCCGCCGGCCUAGCUGCAAUGACCGCACCGGCCCGAAGGUCUCGGUCUCUCCGACCCGGGAUGUGGAGCCCGAAAGAGUGGUGGGAACCCCAGCCCGGGAGGGACGCGGCCGCCGCUCGGGCCAGAUCCCCUUAUCCAGGCCACCUUUGGAAACCAGCCCACCUGCUACACCAACCUUUUCCCAACACCGUGGUCCCACCCCUACCUCCGCUGCUGAAAAACCGCAUUGUGUGGGGGUCUGGAAUCUUCUGGACUCCUGGGAGCCCAAUCCGCUUGCCUCUUGUACCCCUCUUGCAGAGCAAUGA
rnacentral:lncRNA from 1 species